rnacentral:rRNA from 1 species
GACGAACGCUGGCGGCGUGCCUAAUACAUGCAAGUAGAACGCUGAAGAGAGGGGCUUGCUCUUCUUGGAUGAGUUGCGAACGGGUGAGUAACGCGUAGGUAACCUGCCUUGUAGCGGGGGAUAACUAUUGGAAACGAUAGCUAAUACCGCAUAACAAUGGAUGACACAUGUCAUUUAUUUGAAAGGGGCAAUUGCUCCACUACAGGAUGGACCAGCGUUGUAUUAGCUAGUAGGUGAGGUAACGGCUCACCUAGGCGACGAUACAUAGCCGACCUGAGAGGGUGAUCGGCCACACUGGGACUGAGACACGGCCCAGACUCCUACGGGAGGCAGCAGUAGGGAAUCUUCGGCAAUGGGGGCAACCCUGACCGAGCAACGCCGCGUGAGUGAAGAAGGUUUUCGGAUCGUAAAGCUCUGUUGUAAGUCAAGAACGAGUGUGAGAGUGGAAAGUUCACACUGUGACGGUAGCUUACCAGAAAGGGACGGCUAACUACGUGCCAGCCGCCGCUGUAA